rnacentral:rRNA from 1 species
GACGAACGCUGGCGGCGUGCUUAACACAUGCAAGUCGAACGGAAAGGCCCUGCUUUUGUGGGGUGCUCGAGUGGCGAACGGGUGAGUAACACGUGAGUAACCUGUCCUUGACUUUGGGAUAACUUCAGGAAACUGGGGCUAAUACCGGAGAGGAGCUCCUGCUGCAUGGUGGGGGUUGGAAAGUUUCGGCGGUUGGGGAUGGACUCGCGGCUUAUCAGCUUGUUGGUGGGGUAGUGGCUUACCAAGGCUUUGACGGGUAGCCGGCCUGAGAGGGUGGACGGCGACAUUGGGACUGAGAUACGGCGCAGACUCCUACGGGCGGCAGCAGUGGGGAAUAUUGCACAAUGGGCGGAAGCCUGAUGCAGCAACGCCGCGUGCGGGAUGACGGCCUUCGGGUUGUAAACCGCUUUCGCCUGUGACGAAGCGUGAGUGACGGUAAUGGGUAAAGAAGCACCGGCUAACUACGUG